ensembl:lncRNA
AUUUCCCUUUAGCUUAGCAAUAUGCUGCAGCUCUCAAAAGAUUGGAUCUGAAAGAAAGAGACGGAGGAGAAUGAGAGCCAGAGACAGAGAUGCAGACAAGGGAGGGAAGGGGAAAAAAGACUUUUCUUUUCUUUUCUUUUUUUUCUUUCUAGAGGAAUUCUGCCCAGACUCUCCAGCAGUUGGUAGCAGGCAGGCUUUCUCCUGUGUCGCCUGGAAAAGUUGCAAAAUUGCUCUUCACCUGUAAGAACAUGCUUUUUUAUCUUCCAGUCUCUUCUUGUCAAUUUGGAAAUUGCAGACAGCCCGGCUCAGGCAUUAAGAGAAAUUGAUUAGUGACAAGGAAGAGAAGAAAACAUUGCUGGUCAGUAGGCCACGGUUUUGAACAAUUUUUUAAUCCAACGAGCUAUUUUACCUUACACAAUAGAUGUGGUUUUGGCCAACAAUCUUCAUUGUUAAAGCAUCCAGUGGCUUUUUAACAAUGAUAUGGAAUCCAGUGUGCUCCAUUUUCUUCCUAAGACAGUAAUGCCUUCUAAAGCACUCCGAGUAGUAAGGUACACAAGGUAUUGCUUUCAUAAAACUGUGCUAGCUGUCCCUAAUUCAAUUACUCAACUCAAAGACUUCCUCGGGGCUUCGAAAUCGUGCCCACACUUCCCGGUUUCUGCCUCGAACCUGAGCAGCUUGCGGUUGCUCGGUUGGUAAAAUGUUUCUUUAUCUGUUUUGCUUGUCUUUUCAAACCACUUUACUUGUCACGAAGAAGUGGUUUCAGAUUGUUUUUCAUCCCCAUUGUCAUUUGUUGGACUGUAAAGUAG